AUAACGGUCCUAAGGUAGCGAAAUUCCUUGUCGGGUAAGUUCCGACCCGCACGAAAGGUGUAACGAUUUGGGCACUGUCUCAACGAGGGACCCGGUGAAAUUGAAAUACCUGUGAAGAUGCAGGUUACCCGCGACUGGACAGAAAGACCCCAUGGAGCUUUACUGUAACCUGACAUUGGGUUUUGUUGUAUUACGUACAGGAUAGGUGGGAGGCUUGGAAGGCUGGACGCUAGUCUGGCUGGAGCCGGCGUUGGGAUACCACCCUUGAUACAACGGAAUUCUAACCGAGAGAGUAACGAAAUCCGGGACAGUGUCAGGCGGGCAGUUUGACUGGGGCGGUCGCCUCCGAAAGAGUAACGGAGGCGCCCAAAGGUUCCCUCAGCGCGGCCGGAAAUCGCGCGAAGAGUGUAAAGGCAGAAGGGAGCUUGACUGCGAGCCAAACACGGCGAGCAGGUACGAAAGUAGGGCUUAGUGAUCCGGUGGUACCGAGUGGAAGGGCCAUCGCUCAACGGAUAAAAGCUACCCUGGGGAUAACAGGCUAAUCUCUCCCAAGAGUCCAUAUCGACGGGGAGGUUUGGCACCUCGAUGUCGGCUCAUCACAUCCUGGGGCUGAAGUCGGUCCCAAGGGUUGGGCUGUUCGCCCAUUAAAGUGGUACGUGAGCUGGGUUCAGAACGUCGUGAGACAGUUCGGUCCCUAUCCAUCGCGGGCGCAAGAGAUUUGAAGGGGUCUGCUCCUAGUACGAGAGGACCGGAGUGGACGGACCGCUGGUGUACCAGUUAUUCCGCCAGGAGUACAGCUGGGUAGCUACGUCCGGACUGGAUAAACGCUGAAAGCAUCUAAGCGUGAAGCCAUCCUUAAGAUGAGAUCUCUCACAGAGUAAUCUGGUAAGACACCUUAAAGAAGAUGAGGUAGAUAGGCCGGGAGUGUAAGUGCAGCAAUGUAUUGAGCUGACCGGUACUAAUAUGUCGAGGGCUUGACUUC
rnacentral:rRNA from 1 species